rnacentral:rRNA from 1 species
UGGGGAAUUUUGGACAAUGGGCGCAAGCCUGAUCCAGCAAUGCCGCGUGCAGGAUGAAGGCCUUCGGGUUGUAAACUGCUUUUGUACGGAGCGAAAAGGCCUGCCCUAAUACGGUGGGCUCAUGACGGUACCGUAAGAAUAAGCACCGGCUAACUACGUGCCAGCAGCCGCGGUAAUACGUCGGGUGCGAGCGUUAAUCGGCAUUACUGGGCGUAAAGCGUGCGCAGGCGGUUGUAUAAGACAGAUGUGAAAUCCCCGGGCUCAACCUGGGACCUGCAUUUGGGACUGUAUAGCUAGAGUACGGUAGGGGGGAAUGGAAUUCCGCGUGUAGCAGUGAAAUGCGUAGAUAUGUGGAGGAACACCGAUGGCGAAGGCAAUCCCCUGGACCUGUACUGACGCUCAUGCACGAAAGCGUGGGGAGCGAACA